GACGAACGCUGGCGGCGUGCUUAACACAUGCAAGUCGAACGGAGUGGCGAACGGGUGUGUAACACGUGGGUGAUCUGCCUUGCACUUCGGGGUAAGCUUGUGAAACUGGUUCUAAUUCCGGCUUGUGCAAGAUGAGCUCGCGGACUAUGAGCUUGUGGGUGGGGUAAUGGCAUACCAAGGCGCCGACGGGUAGCCGGCCUGAGAGGGUGUACGGCCACAUUGGGACUGAGAUACGGCCCAGACUCCUACGGGAGGCAGCAGUGGGGAAGAGUGCACAAUGGGCGGAAGCCUGAUGCAGCGACGCCGCGUGGGGGAUGAAGGCCUUCGGGUUGUAAACUCCUUUCGACAGGGACGCGGUACCUGUAUAAGAAGCACCGGCUAACUACGUGCCAGCAGCCGCGGUAAUUC
rnacentral:rRNA from 1 species